GUCAGUGUGGUGUAGUGGUUUGAACAUUGGACUGUGCCUCUGGAGACCAGGGUUCAAAUCCUUGUUUGGCCA
rnacentral:tRNA from 1 species